AGUGAACGCUGGCGGUAGGCCUAACACAUGCAAGUCGAACUGCAGCACAGUAAGAGCUUGCUCUUACGGGUGGCGAGUGGCGGACGGGUGAGGAAUACAUCGGAAUCUACUUUUUCGUGGGGGAUAACGUAGGGAAACUUACGCUAAUACCGCAUACGACCUACGGGUGAAAGCACGGGAUCUUCGGACCUUGCGCGAUUGAAUGAGCCGAUGUCGGAUUAGCUAGUUGGCGGGGGAAAGGCCCACCAAGGCGACGAUCCGUAGCUGGUCUGAGAGGAUGAUCAGCCACACUGGAACUGAGACACGGUCCAGACUCCUACGGGAGGCAGCAGUGGGGAAUAUUGGACAAUGGGCGCAAGCCUGAUCCAGCCAUACCGCGUGGGUGAAGAAGGCCUUCGGGUUGUAAAGCCCUUUUGUUGGGAAAGAAAAGCAGCAGGUUAAUACCCCGCUGUUCUGACGGUACCCAAAGAAUAAGCACCGGCUAACUUCGUG
rnacentral:rRNA from 1 species